rnacentral:sRNA from 1 species
AACAACCCAGAGAAAAUACCAAUUUUACUAUCCAUACUAAGAAAAAAAAUUCUUAGUAAUGGAUAGUAAAAAUUGGGUAUUUUCUCUGGGUCGUUUAAAUCAC